GCGGCUUCUGGAGAGAAUUCGAGAUGGGGACCUCCCUGGACAUCAAGAUUAAAAGAGCGAAUAAAGUUUAUCACGCUGGGGAAAUACUCUCCGGUGUGGUGGUCAUAUCUAGUAAGGAUUCAGUCCAACACCAGGGAGUGUCUUUGACAAUGGAAGAAACCGUGAACCUUCAGCUCAGUGCCAAAAGUGUGGGUGUGUUUGAAGCUUUUUAUAAUUCUGUUAAGCCUAUCCAGAUUCUCAACAGCACCAUAGAAAUGGUGAAGCCAGGGAAAUUUCCCAGUGGCAAAACAGAAAUUCCUUUUGAAUUUCCUCUGCAUGUGAAGAGUAACAAAGUUCUAUAUGAGACUUAUCACGGCGUGUUUGUCAACAUUCAGUAUACACUGCGCUGUGACAUGAGGCGUUCUCUGUUGGCCAAGGACUUGACAAAGACCUGUGAAUUUAUCGUUCAUUCUGCCCCUCAGAAGGGGAAAUUGACGCCGAGUCCUGUGGACUUCACGAUUACACCUGAAACCUUACAGAACGUCAAAGAGAGAGCCUUGCUCCCCAAAUUUCUCAUUAGAGGACAUCUCAACUCAACGAACUGUGUCAUCACGCAGCCCCUAACAGGAGAGCUGGUGGUGGAGAGCUCAGAGGCCGCCAUAAGAAGUGUGGAGCUGCAGCUGGUGCGCGUGGAGACCUGCGGAUGUGCAGAAGGCUAUGCCCGUGAUGCCACAGAGAUUCAGAAUAUUCAGAUUGCUGAUGGGGAUGUUUGCAGGGGCCUCUCUGUCCCCAUACACAUGGUCUUCCCCAGGCUGUUCACCUGUCCUACACUGGAGACCACCAACUUCAAAGUGGAAUUUGAGGUUAAUAUCGUUGUGCUUCUUCAUGCUGAUCACCUCAUCACAGAGAACUUUCCACUGAAGCUCUGCAGGGUAUAGCCCAGGAGGAGGGAAGCACAGAAAACAGGAGUGGUCACAUGGAAGUCCAGCUGGUUAUCUGACUGUUAAGGGGAGCUAAAGCAUAUACUUAUUUUCAUCAUUUUUCUGUAUCAGAAAUGAAGUGAAUUCUUCAGAUUACAAUUACUUUUCUUCUUCAUUUCUUCGAGACUUCUGCUUCCAACAGAGGUCUGGAAUCAAACCUUUUCUCUGAAAUUUAACAGGAUUUCUUAAUGCUGUUUGCAAGACUAUUUCACAGAAAACAUCUCCUGUGGCUCCUGACUUACCUGUUCCUUUCUGGGGACAUUAAAACAACUGUGACAGCGUUAGAGAUUUGGUGGAAAAUGAGAUCAUGGGGAUGAAAAGAAACCUCUCCAACCCAAUAAUGGGUGUAACUGGGGACUCCUGCAGCAAAGGGUCUGUGACCAGGCAACAUCCAGUAUGGCCACAAACAUACUCAUCACUUAGGAAGUUUGUAGAUACCCUCCAAGAUGGAGUGCAAAGUGGCAUCCACUAGAUGU